AUUGAACGCUGGCGGAAUGCUUUACACAUGCAAGUCGAACGGCAGCACGGACUUCGGUCAGGUGGCGAGUGGCGAACGGGUGAGUAAUACAUCGGAACGUGCCCAGUCGUGGGGGAUAACGUAGCGAAAGCUACGCUAAUACCGCAUACGAUCUAAGGAUGAAAGCGGGGGAUCGCAAGACCUCGCGCGAUUGGAGCGGCCGAUGGCAGAUUAGGUAGUUGGUAGGGUAAAGGCCUACCAAGCCGACGAUCUGUAGCUGGUCUGAGAGGAUGGUCAGCCACACUGGGACUGAGACACGGCCCAGACUCCUACGGGAGGCAGCAGUGGGGAAUUUUGGACAAUGGGCGCAAGCCUGAUCCAGCCAUUCCGCGUGCAGGAUGAAGGCCUUCGGGUUGUAAACUGCUUUUGUACAGAACGAAAAGGCUCUGGUUAAUACCCGGGGCUCAUGACGGUACUGUAAGAAUAAGCACCGGCUAACUACGUGCCAGCCGCCGCCGUAA
rnacentral:rRNA from 1 species